AUCGAACGCUGGCGGCAGGCCUAACACAUGCAAGUCGAGCGAGCGGCGGACGGGUGAGUAAUGGCUGGGAAACUGCCUGAUGGAGGGGGCUAACUACUGGAAACGGUAGCUAAUACCGCUUACCGUCAUUUCGGCCCUGGUGGGAUUAGCUAGUAGGUGGGGUAAUGGCUCACCUAGGCGACGAUCCCUAGCUGGUCUGAGAGGAUGACCGGCCACACUGGAACUGAGACACGGCCCAGACUCCUACGGGAGGCAGCAGUGGGGAAUAUUGCGCAAUGGGCGCAAGCCUGAUGGAGCAAUGCCGCGUGUGUGAAGAAGGCCUUCGGGUUGUAAAGCACUUUCAGCGGGGAGGCGUUACUCGAAGAGGAAGCACCGGCUAACUCCGUGCCAGCAGCCGCGGUAAUUC
rnacentral:rRNA from 1 species